rnacentral:rRNA from 1 species
GGAAUUGACGGGGACCCGCACAAGCAGCGGAGCGUGUGGUUUAAUUCGUUGCUACACGAAGAACCUUACCUGGGUUUGACAUAUAGGUUGUAGGGAACUGAAAGGGACCGACCUUCGGGGAGCCUAUACAGGUGUUGCAUGGCUGUCGUCAGCUCGUGUCGUGAGAUGUUCGGUUAAGUCCGCUAACGAGCGCAACCCUCGUCGUAUGUUAUAUGUGUCAUACGAGACUGCCGGUAAAAGCCGGAGGAAGGUGAGGAUGAUGUCAAGUCAGCAUGACCUUUAUAUCCAGGGCUACACACACGCUACAAUGGUCUGUACAAUGGGUAGCCAAGCCGCGAGGCGGAGCCAAUCCUGAAAGCAGGCCUCAGUUCAGAUUGCAGUCUGCAACUCGACUGCAUGAAGCCGGAGUUGCUAGUAACCGCAGGUCAGCAAUACUGCGGUGAAUACGUUCCCGGGUCUU